rnacentral:rRNA from 1 species
AACGAACGCUGGCGGCAGGCCUAACACAUGCAAGUCGAACGCCGUAGCAAUACGGAGUGGCAGACGGGUGAGUAACGCGUGGGAACAUACCCCUCGGUUCGGAAUAACUCAGGGAAACUUGAGCUAAUACCGGAUACGUCCGAGGUUUUAAUCGGCCUUGGAGAAAGAUUUAUCGCCGGAGGAUUGGCCCGCGUCUGAUUAGCUUGUUGGUGAGGUA